CUCCUACGGGAGGCAGCAGUGGGGAAUCUUGCGCAAUGGGGGGAACCCUGACGCAGCGACGCCGCGUGCGGGACGGAGGCCUUCGGGUCGUAAACCGCUUUCAGCAGGGAAGAGUCAAGACUGUACCUGCAGAAGAAGCCCCGGCUAACUACGUGCCAGCAGCCGCGGUAAUACGUAGGGGGCGAGCGUUAUCCGGAUUCAUUGGGCGUAAAGCGCGCGUAGGCGGCCCGGCAGGCCGGGGGUCGAAGCGGGGGGCUCAACCCCCCGAAGCCCCCGGAACCUCCGCGGCUUGGGUCCGGUAGGGGAGGGUGGAACACCCGGUGUAGCGGUGGAAUGCGCAGAUAUCGGGUGGAACACCGGUGGCGAAGGCGGCCCUCUGGGCCGAGACCGACGCUGAGGCGCGAAAGCUGGGGGAGCGAACAGGAUUAGAUACCCUGGUAGUCCCAGCCGUAAACGAUGGACGCUAGGUGUGGGGGGACGAUCCCCCCGUGCCGCAGC
rnacentral:rRNA from 1 species